rnacentral:rRNA from 1 species
CGAUGACCACUUCGGUGGGGAUUAGUGGCGAACGGGUGAGUAACACGUGGGCAAUCUGCCCUUCACUCUGGGACAAGCCCUGGAAACGGGGUCUAAUACCGGAUAACACUUCUGCUCUCAUGGGCAGGGGUUAAAAGCUCCGGCGGUGAAGGAUGAGCCCGCGGCCUAUCAGCUUGUUGGUGAGGUAAUGGCUCACCAAGGCGACGACGGGUAGCCGGCCUGAGAGGGCGACCGGCCACACUGGGACUGAGACACGGCCCAGACUCCUACGGGAGGCAGCAGUGGGGAAUAUUGCACAAUGGGCGAAAGCCUGAUGCAGCGACGCCGCGUGAGGGAUGACGGCCUUCGGGUUGUAAACCUCUUUCAGCAGGGAAGAAGCGAAAGUGACGGUACCUGCAGAAGAAGCGCCGGCUAACUACGUGCCAGCAGCCGCGG